GACGAAGGUGGCGAGCGUUGUUCGGAAUCACUGGGCAUAAAGCGCACGUAGGCGGCGGCGUAAGUUGGAUGUGAAAUCCCCCGGCCCAACCGGGGAACUGCGUCCAGUACUGCGUUGCUUGAGGAUCCAAGGGGUGCAUGGAAUUCCCGGUGGAGCGGUGAAAUGCGUUGAUAUCGGGAGGAACUCCGGCGGCGAAAGCGGUGCACUGGUGGAUUACUGACGCUGAGGUGCGAAAGCGUGGGGAGCAAACAGG
rnacentral:rRNA from 1 species